rnacentral:rRNA from 1 species
CCUACGGGUGGCUGCAGUGGGGAAUAUUGGACAAUGGGCGAAAGCCUGAUCCAGCCAUGCCGCGUGUGUGAAGAAGGCCUUCGGGUUGUAAAGCACUUUCAGUGGGGAAGAAAGCCUUGGGGCUAAUACCCUCGAGGAAGGACAUCACCCACAGAAGAAGCACCGGCUAACUCCGUGCCAGCAGCCGCGGUAAUACGGAGGGUGCGAGCGUUAAUCGGAAUUACUGGGCGUAAAGCGCGCGUAGGCGGUCUGAUAAGCCGGUUGUGAAAGCCCCGGGCUCAACCUGGGAACGGCAUCCGGAACGGUCAGGCUAGAGUGCAGGAGAGGAAGGUAGAAUUCCCGGUGUAGCGGUGAAAUGCGUAGAGAUCGGGAGGAAUACCAGUGGCGAAGGCGGCCUUCUGGACUGACACUGACGCUGAGGUGCGAAAGCGUGGGUAGCAAACAGGAUUAGAUACCCUAGUAGUC